rnacentral:rRNA from 1 species
GACGAACCGUGCGAACGUUAUUCGGAAUCACUGGGCUUAAAGGGCGCGUAGGCGGGCGGCCAAGUCAGGGGUGAAAGCCCCCAGUUCAACUGGGGAAGUGCCUUUGAUACUGGUUGUCUCGAGGGAGGUAGGGGCGUGCGGAACUUCCGGUGGAGCGGUGAAUGCGUAGAUAUACGGAGGAACAUCAGUGGCGAAGGCGGCCAUCUGGGACAACACUGACCGCUGAGGCACGAAGCGU